rnacentral:rRNA from 1 species
UACGGGGGGGAGCAAGCGUUAUCCGGAAUGAUUGGGCGUAAAGCAUUCGUAGGUGGUAGAUGAAGUCUACUGUCAAAAUACCAGGGCUCAACCUUGGACAGGCAGUGGAGUACUCAUUUUACUAGAGCGUGGUAGAGGUAGAGGGGAAAUUCCCCGUUGGAGCGGGUGAAAAUGCGUAGAGAUGGGGGGAAAGAAACACCCGGUGGGCGAAAAGCGCUC